AUUUUUUGCCAACUCGGCCCACGAACUUCCCCAAUACCCGGUCUGCCACCACUCAAGGCUAAACAACACCAUUUUGUUACAUCUCAUCUCAAUAUUUGGAUCAACGAGAUCCAGCGGAUCGGAACUAAUCCCUCCCCUGUACAUAAAUGUUUGAACCCAUACCCCCCUUCCCCCACUCAUCUCCCCCAUCUCUGAUUCCCAGAGACCAAAACCCCUAACCCCUACCUUUUUCCACCGCAUCCGCUUGGCGGUGCUACCUCCAAUCACCCACUUUUUGACACCCUAGAACCCCCCACCUCUCUCUUCUCAAAUCUCUGACCAGUUUUCCUCGAAUCCCAUCAGAAAUGCUCGAAUGUCAAAUUUGAAUCCAAGAACUAAAAACUCUAAAACCCAUAAAUCUACCUGAGUUCACCCCAAAUGACCUUUCACCUCUUUCCUGCCCCAAACGCAUUCUUGUUUCCCGUCAAUGGCGGAGGAGAGGUCCUAGGCUACCUUGUGUUUUUUUCUUUUCUUUUUCUUUUUUUUUUGUUUGGCAAGAUUGAGUGAAACCAUACCGUCACUAAUGGUUUGUCUUUUAUUUAGGAUAAUUAAUUAAUGACUGUCAACGGUUAACUUUCUUCUUCAACGGGUUUAUCUAAGUGCAUGUAGGUUCUUGCUGAGGCAGGUUUGAGAUAAUUUCUUGUUAUCGAUUAGUUUCCAUUUGAUCUUCUCUUUUGUUUGUUUUUUUAUUUUCUAGUUUCUUUCUUCAGAAGUUUCAUUUCUUGUUUAAUUGCAUCGCGUCUCUGGGUUUUAGAUUCAUUAGUUAACUUGUCGGCUAAAUCGUUAAUGACAAUCUGCUUCAUAGGGUUUGAGUGUAAUUUGUUUUCAAUUAAUGGGAUUUUCUUCUGUCUAUUAGGUUUCAUUUUUAUGUUUGGGAAUUAAUUCUGUAACUGAAGCAUUGAUAAUAUCCAAGUAUAGCUUAUCAUUUGCAUUAAUUCCUGUUUCAAGAGCAUUUUCGAGUUCAUGUGUGAAGGGUCUUAGGUUUAAUUCAGAUUAACUUUUCAAGGUUUAAUAUGAUCCAAUAAUUGUUUUGAAUUUCACUGGUUUUCGAUCCAGUUAAAAGUGUCAGCUCGUUUGCUUACUCUUUAUUGUGAUGAUAAGCAUUCAGAACUUAGGAGGGGGUAAGUGUAUAACUCAGAAAAUUUUCGGGGUAGUUUUGGGGAUUGGUUUAACUUGAACAAUCUUCUAAUAACUGAUUGGAAAGCUUCCUAAUAGAUAGCUACCCAAAAUUGUUAGGGAAAACAGGCUGCAAAUUCAAAAUAUAUUAAGGAAAUGGACAGUUGUCCAAAGAUCAAUUAUUAUGGGAAAAUCUGAUAUCCUUGCCUUGGAAGGCACACAACAGACCCCCAUCCUUAUAACUGAAGCUUCCUUUGACUCAAUGCACAAUUUUUGCACCCUAGAGAGACUAAAAAGAUAAGAAGAAAUACUGAAUUUUAGAAUCGAUUAAUUUCCUUCUGAAAAAUUUGAGAAAAUGCUGAAAAUUGUUUGAACUAAUUUUGAUUUCUUUGUUUUGGUUCUCUGAAUCUUCUGUUAAUCUAGAAUUUCUGAAAAACUUCCAAGAUUGUGUAUCUGGUUAGAGAAAGGGCUUAAGCUUUAGUUUGUAGUAUGUGUUGGAUUUCCUCUACUGUUCCAUUGAUUUUUCCUAAGCUAAUUUCAGUGUUUUAUUGCCUGAAUUUUGGGCUGAUUUUGCUGCUGCUUGCUGUUGAUCAUUCACAUCUUUGGUUUUUCUCUUGUUCAUUACCAUGUAUUUUUCCUUCAAACCAUGGACAGAAAUAAAGUUUGUUAUGGCUGCUGUGUUAAAGUCGUGUAAUUCAAGUUGAGGAAACUUAUUGUUAUCCACUCUCUGUUGCAUUACAAGUUUAAAAAUCCAUUAUAUUUUGUUUUCAUGUUUCUCCUAGACUCCUAUGAGUUAUUUAGCUUCUUUUCAUUUUCUUUUAGGUUCUGCUCUAGCGUUGUAAAAAUUUUCCUUUUUACUUCCUUAGUUUAAAUGCUCGAGGGUUUAUGAUCACAUGUAUAAGUGGUAGAUAACUAAUGUAAGGAGAUUUCAGUAGCAUCAGGAAUGUUUCAGGUCUAUUCUGGCCUGUUGAAGCCAGUGUUGCUGUGCAAAAAAUGCAUAAUUUUUUUUUGAGAUUGAUGUCCCUGAAAUUUGAAAUCAGGAACUUUCAUAUUGAGGUUUUCAUUAGGUGAUGAACUUUAUAUGGUCUGUCUGAUCUUUGAUGAAAUCGGUUGUUUAACAUAGACUGAAACUUGAUAACAUGGGCACGAAU
rnacentral:lncRNA from 1 species